rnacentral:tRNA from 1 species
GGCGAGAUGGCCGAGCGGUCUAAGGCGCUGUGUUAAGGUGACUCCUUCCUCCAAGGAAGAGCUCAUCCGCAGUCUUCGGACGUGGGUUCGAAUCCCACUCUCGUCA